GCCCGGGUGGUGGAAUUGGCAGACACGCUAGACUAAGGAUCUAGUCCCUCACGGGGUGCGAGUUCAAGUCUCGCCUCGGGCACCA
rnacentral:tRNA from 1 species